UUCAGAGGUCUCAAGCGUUGUUCGGAUUCAUUGGGCGUAAAGGGUGCGUAGGCGGCGCGGUAAGUCGGGUGUGAAAUCUUGGAGCUUAACUCCGAAACUGCAUUCGAUACUGCCGUGCUUGAGGACUGGAAAGGAGACUGGAAUUUACGGUGUAGCGGUGAAAUGCGUAGAUAUCGUAAGGAAGACCAGUGGCGAAGGCGGGUCUCUGGACAGUUCCUGACGCUGAGGCACGAAGGUCAGGGGAGCAAACGGG
rnacentral:rRNA from 1 species